UACGAAGGGUGCAAACGUUGCUCGGAAUUAUUGGGCGUAAAGCGCACGUAGGCGGCUUAGCAAGUCGGAUGUGAAAGCCCUCGGCUCAACCAAGGAAGUGCAUCCGAAACUGCUGAGCUUGAGUACUUAAGAGAAUCGCGGAAUUCCCGGUGUAGAGGUGAAAUUCGUAGAUAUCGGGAGGAACACCAGUGGCGAAGGCGGCGAUCUGGGAAGAUACUGACGCUGAGGUGCGAAAGCGUGGGGAGCAAACAGG
rnacentral:rRNA from 1 species